UACGUAGGCAGCGAGCGUUGUCCGGAAUUAUUGGGCGUAAAGAGCUCGUAGGCGGUCUGUCGCGUCUGCUGUGAAAACUCAGGGCUUAACCCUGAGCUUGCAGUGGGUACGGGCAGACUAGAGUGCGGUAGGGGAGACUGGAAUUCCUGGUGUAGCGGUGAAAUGCGCAGAUAUCAGGAGGAACACCGGUGGCGAAGGCGGGUCUCUGGGCAUUAACUGACGCUGGAGGAGCGAAAGCAUGGGAGCGAACAGG
rnacentral:rRNA from 1 species